UACGUGUCACCUACAGCCAUGCUUGUCAGCUAUUGGAUACAGCAUGGCAUAUGUGACCCGCUUAG
rnacentral:pre_miRNA from 1 species